rnacentral:misc_RNA from 1 species
GCAAACUUGGUCAUUUAGAGGAAGUAAAAGUCGUAACAAGGUUUCCGUAGGUGAACCUGCGGAAGGAUCAUUAACGUGUGUUCGUCGAUGUUUUUAAAACAUUGUUCGUCCCCACCCUUGUCUACCUUACCUGUUGCUUCGGCAAGCCUGUGGCCUCUGUGCUGCUGCCGGGAGUCUUCUUGUCUCUUGGCUCGUUGCUUGCCGAAGAUCACUAAACUCCAUAUUAAAGUAUGACGUCUGAGAAUAAACUUGCUAAUAGCAUAAAAACUUUCAACAACGGAUCUCUUGGUUCCGACAUCGAUGAAGAACGCAGC